rnacentral:siRNA from 1 species
CGGUUACCAGGUGUGGUACCA